rnacentral:rRNA from 1 species
UACAGAGGGGGCAAGCGUUGUUCGGAAUUACUGGGCGUAAAGGGCGCGUAGGCGGCCUGCUAAGUCGAACGUGAAAUCCCCGAGCUCAACUCGGGAACUGCGUCCGAUACUGGCAGGCUUGAAUCCGGGAGAGGGAUGCGGAAUUCCAGGUGUAGCGGUGAAAUGCGUAGAUAUCAAGAGGAACACCAGUGGCGAAGGCGAGUCCCUGGACAACACCUGACACUGAGGCACGAAAGCUAGGGGAGCAAACAGG